rnacentral:rRNA from 1 species
AGUCAUAUGCUUGUCUCAAAGAUUAAGCCAUGCAUGUCUAAGUGCAUACCGAAAGACGGUGAAACCGCGAAUGGCUCAUUAAAUCAGUUAUGGUUCAUUAGAUCGUACAUUUAUCCUACUUGGAUAACUGUGGUAAUUCUAGAGCUAAUACAUGCAAUUGAGCUCCGACCAUUAACUUGGGACGGGCGCUUUUAUUAGAACAAGACCAAUAACGGAUGUCUUCUCUCCGCUUCUCCUCUUCUCUUCCGGGAGUCGUUGGAUGGCGGUUGCGAAGUUCCGUUAAUCCCAAUUGGUGACUCUGGAUAACUUUAAGCCGAUCGCACGGUCUCGCACCGGCGACGAGUCUUUCAAAUGUCUGCCUUAUCAACUGUCGAUGGUAGGUUACGCGCCUACCAUGGUUGUAACGGGUAACGGGGAAUCAGGGUUCGAUUCCGGAGAGGGAGCCUGAGAAACGGCUACCACAUCCAAGGAAGGCAGCAGGCACGCAAAUUACCCACUCCCGGCACGGGGAGGUAGUGACGAAAAAUAACAAUGCGGGACUCUUYCGAGGCCCCGUAAUUGGAAUGAGUACACUUUAAAUCCUUUAACCAGGAUCAAUUGGAGGGCAAGUCUGGUGCCAGCAGCCGCGGUAAUUCCAGCUCCAAUAGCGUAUAUUAAAGUUGUUGCGGUUAAAAAGCUCGUAGUUGGAUCUCGGUGCCGGACCGGCGGUCCGCUCUCUUUAAUUAGGGGCGGUUUUUACUGCCGGCUCCGGAGCCAAGCCGGCCGGAUCAUCCCUCGAUGCUCUUUACCGAGUGUCUGGGACACCGGCGCGUUUACUUUGAAUAAAUUAGAGUGCUCUAAGCAGGCGUUUCACGCCCGAAUAACCCAGCAUGGAAUAAUGAAAUAGGACCUCGGUUCUGUUUUGUUGGUUUUUUUUCGGAACCCGAGGUAAUGAUUAAUAGGGACAGACGGGGGCAUUCGUAUUGCGGCGCUAGAGGUGAAAUUCUUGGACCGUCGCAAGACGAACUACUGCGAAAGCAUUUGCCAAGAAUGUUUUCAUUAAUCAAGAACGAAAGUUAGAGGAUCGAAGGCGAUCAGAUACCGCCCUAGUUCUAACCAUAAACGAUGCCAACCAGCGAUCCGCCGCAGUUUCUCCGAUAACUCGGCGGGCAGCUUCCCGGGAAACCAAAGUUUUUGGGUUCCGGGGGAAGUAUGGUUGCAAAGCUGAAACUUAAAGGAAUUGACGGAAGGGCACCACCAGGAGUGGAGCCUGCGGCUUAAUUUGACUCAACACGGGAAAACUUACCCGGCCCGGACACUAGAAGGAUUGACAGAUUGAGAGCUCUUUCUUGAUUCAGUGGGUGGUGGUGCAUGGCCGUUCUUAGUUGGUGGAGCGAUUUGUCUGGUUAAUUCCGAUAACGAACGAGACUCUGGCCUGCUAAAUAGACGACCGAUCCCGGGGUGCCAGCGCCUUUUCACGUUGCGGCCGUUCGGUCCCAUUCCUUUCGGGUAUUGCGUCGUUCUCUUCUCCCUUCCUCGCAUCCGUUGCGUGGGCCGGUGCGUGCGUUUCGCUCUCGGGCGUGCGGGMGCAUUCGGUUUCCGUCUUCGGGGACCGGGGCUCGAGGGGUUGAGACGCGCGAUAUUGCGCGAGGGGUCGGCGACGGUUGUCAAUUGAAUUGGGUGUGCGGCGUGUCCUCUGUCGGUCGAUAGCUUCUUAGAGGGACAAGCGGCGCUUAGCCGCACGAGAUUGAGCAAUAACAGGUCUGUGAUGCCCUUAGAUGUCCGGGGCCGCACGCGCGCUACACUGAAAGAAUCAGCGUGCGUUAUUUCCCUGUCCAGAAGGAUCGGGUAACCCGUUGAAAAUCUUUCGUGAUAGGGAUCGGGGCUUGGAAUUGUCCCCCGUGAACGAGGAAUUCCCAGUAAGCGCGAGUCAUAAGCUCGCGUUGAUUACGUCCCUGCCCUUUGUACACACCGCCCGUCGCUACUACCGAUCGAAUGAUUUAGUGAGGUCUUCAGACUGGCAGUCUCCGCGGCUCCUUUUUCGCGAGAGGAUCGCGGCGGUCCGCUGGAAAGAUGAGCGAACUUGACCCUUAGAGGAAGUAAA